ACCACAACGAGGCUACAACAACAAGGGCAACAAAAGGGGGAUAAAAUGGUCUCCAGGAGCGGUGGAUUCAUGGUACAGGCACCGAGCCCAGCAAUAACCCUGGAGGAAAAAAUAUAUAUAUAUCCAUGUGUAAGGUGCUGGCACCAGCACAAAGAGAUGACUGUGUAUCAUGCAUGAAACAUGACUUUCAACCAGGGGCGACUCUGCCCUAAGGGCACAGGUACUGUCUCAGGAGCCAUUUGGGGCUGUCACAUGUGGGGUAGGAGGUCCUGUCAUCCUGUGGAGAGGCUCCAGGAAUGCUAAGUGCCCAGCACAGCCCACAGAACAAAAAACGAGGCAGUGCUGGAAGCAGCAGUAUCACUAUUGCUGUCUGAGGUUAAGCAGCCCUGGCCUGCCAUACAGACCACACACAGUCUGCUCACUGGUGUCCAGGCCCACUGGUUAAAAGGGACCCCAAGCCAGUGAAACAGCUCACUUGGAUAGUGUGCUGCCUUACUCUGUGAGUGACCCAGGUUCGAGCCUAGCUCCUACUGCAUUAAAGGAAGUUUCAGUGUUGUUGUCUCUUUCCCUCUCUCUAUGCUUCUUUGCCUUCUCUGUCUUUAUCAAGAAAAGUUUUAAUUACAAAAAUGUAACAGCAGGGGCCAGGCAGUGGCACAUCUGGUUAGGUGAACACAUUACCAUGUGCAAGGACAUGAGUUCGAGCCCUGGCUCCCCAUCUUUGGGGGGGGGGGAGUUUUACACGUGUUGAAGUAAAACAUCUGUCUCUCCCUCUUAAUUUCUCUGUCCUAUCAAAUAAAGAAAAAAAAAAUGAAUGAAAAAGAGGGGGCAGGCAGUGGGACAUCUGGUUAAGAGCACACAUUACAGUAUAGAAGGGCCCAGGUUCAAGUCCCUGGACCUCACUUGCAGGGGGAAAGCUUCAUGAGUGGUGAAGUAGGGCUGCAGUUAGCUAUCUCUCUCCUCUUGAUUUCUCUCUGUCCUAUCCAACAACAACAGCUAUAACAACAGUAACUACAACAAGGGUAACAAAAUGGGAAAAAUAGCCUCCAGGAGCAGUCGAUUCGUUAUGCUGCCCCAGCAAUAACCUUGGAGGCAAAAAAAAGAAGUUUAGGGUCCCUCUGGUGGCACAUCUGGUUGAGCAAUGCUGAAGGGCCCAGGUUCAAGUCCUUGGUCCCCACCUACAGGAGGAAAGCUUCACAAAUGGUGAAGCAGUGCUGCAGGUGUCUCUCUUUCUCUCUGUUAGCCCCUUCCCUCUCGAUUUCUGGCUACCUCUAACCAGUAAAUAAAUAAAGAUGAUAAAAAAAUUAAAGCCAAAAAGAGAAAUUCAUGGGGGCUGAGAGGUGGUGCAGCAGGUUAAGCACACAUGGUGCAAAGCGCUCAAGGACUAGAGUAAGGAUUCAGGUUCAAGCCCCCAGCUCCCAACCUGCCAUUCCUAUCUUUCUCUUCCCUUCUGUCUUCCCCUCCUCUCAAUUUCUCUCUGUCCUGUCCAACAACAACAACAGCAAUGACAACAACAAUAAUAACAGCAAAGGCAAGGGCAGCAAAAUGGGGAGAAAAAAAGGCCUCCAGGAGCAGUGGAUUUGUAGUGCAGAUACUAAGCCCCAGCAGUAACCCUGGAGGCAGAAAUAAGUAAAUAAAAAGAGAAAUUCAUAUUAUCAGAAUGUUCAGCUUGAACCUAGGUCCAGAUUAGAAAGAAAACUUGGGUGGGGGAGAUAGCAUAAAGGUUAUACAAACAGACUCUCUCACCUGAGGAUCUGAGGUCCCAGGUUCAUUCCUCCACACCACUGUAAGCCAGAGCUGAGCAGUACUCUGGUUAAAAAAAAAAAAAAAAAAAAGAAGGGGAGGGAGAAGGGGUUGGAGGGGUUGGGUAGUAGUGCACCAGUGUUUGAGGACCUGGGUUCACAACACGGUUCCCACUUAGAAAAGGGAAAGCUUCACAAGUGGUGAAUUGGUGCUACAAGUGUCUGUGUCUCUCCUCCCUUCUCUGUCUUCCCACUCCCCUCUUGAUCUCUCUCAAUCCAAUAAAUAAAUAAAUGAAAGGAAAAGAAAG